rnacentral:lncRNA from 1 species
UUUUCCAAAAGUUCAUCAGUUAUAUUAACACGCAUGAGUCAUAAUUACAUAGGACCAUCUCACCAUCAUAUCAUAAAGUUUUUUUUUUUUUUUUAUACAAUUCAUGUAUCUCAUGAACUAGUGAUUGUUUUCGACAUAUGUUAAGUGAACUUUGUUAGUUCUUGUGUCUUGUGUCUUUCAUGUGAUGCUAAUUGUAUCUUGGUCGUAAUUUCAAAGCCUAGCCAUGUAGAAACUGAACCUUACAACAAAAUAUUGGUAAAAAGUUUGGUGUGGCUUUUAUGGGAGAGAUGCAACGUCGUCACGUCAAAUCUUCUGACAGAUUUUUCUCUUAAAUCCCAAAGAUU